AGCAGCCGCGGUAAUUCCAGCUCCAAUAGCGUAUAUUAAAGUUGUUGCAGUUAAAAAGCUCGUAGUUGAAUUUCGGGAUCAGUAGGUUGGUCAUGCCUCCGGUAUGUACUGGUCUCACUGGUUCCUCCUUCCUGAUGAACCGUAAUGCCAUUAAUUUGGUGUUGCGGGGAGACUGGACUGUUACUUUAGAAAAAUUAGAGUGUUUAAAGCAGGCUUACGCUUGAAUACAUUAGCAUGGAAUAAUGAAAUAGGACGUUCGAUCCUAUUUUGUUGGUUUCUAGGAUUGACGUAAUGAUUAAUAGGGAUAGUUGGGGCAUUAGUAUUCAAUUGUCAGAGGUGAAACUCUUGGAUUUAUUGAAGACUAACUA
rnacentral:rRNA from 1 species